rnacentral:rRNA from 1 species
AAUGGGCGCAAGCCUGACCCAGCAACGCCGCGUGAAGGAAGAAGGCUUUCGGGUUGUAAACUUCUUUUGUCAGGGACGAGUAGAAGACGGUACCUGACGAAUAAGCCACGGCUAACUACGUGCCAGCAGCCGCGGUAAUACGUAGGUGGCAAGCGUUGUCCGGAUUUACUGGGUGUAAAGGGCGUGUAGCCGGGAAGGCAAGUCAGAUGUGAAAUCCACGGGCUCAACUCGUGAACUGCAUUUGAAACUGUUUUUCUUGAGUAUCGGAGAGGCAAUCGGAAUUCCUAGUGUAGCGGUGAAAUGCGUAGAUAUUAGGAGGAACACCAGUGGCGAAGGCGGAUUGCUGGACGACAACUGACGGUGAGGCGCGAAAGCGUGGGGAGCAAA